GGAAAAUGAGAGGAAGAACUAUGAGUGAAGAAAUAAACACGUUGAAGCUGUAAACUUCCAAACCAAAAGCAUGGGUCUACUGCAUAGAAAACAUUCAAAAAUAUUUGUAGAGUAAAUGAGCAAGUGUCAAAUACAUGAAUGAAUUGCAUGGCACAUAGUACUUAACAGGAAAGAGACAGAAAAGCGUUGAUAUGAAGAAUUUCUAAAAUCCUCAUAUGAAAUGAGUAAAAUUAAGGAUAAAUGACACUGGAAAACCAAAAUGGUAAGUGAGGGUGGGUCCAUGGGGAAUUGUAAAUAAGAGACUCAUUUUAACUUCAGGUUAUGAAGGUAGGUUAUGAUGCAUACUUUUUUUGUUGUUGUCCUUACUUCUUUCAUUGUUGAUUUGAAGCAGUUUGCUAAACUCUGUAGGCUGAAAACUGAAAGAAUGUACUUGUGAAAGACUCUGACCAAUAUUUUGGAGCAGUGAUUCUGACAUUAUCCUUCAGCUGAUUAGGAAAGAUUCUUUGAAUAAGGAAAUAUUUUCAUAUAUCAACAAUGCUAAUUUAAGAGGCUGAAUCAACAGGCCUGUGGGGAAAUGAAAAAGAAACCUAUUUUUUUCUUGUAAUUUACUGUUCACACAUUCUUUGUUAUGUUUUAAAAUCCACUGCACAUUUCUAAUUAUAGAGUAAUCUUUUCUAGCUCUGAAAAUUUCACCUACUAUUGUCUAUCUUAUGUGAGGCUUUGAUCUUCUCAAAAUACUAAAAUCAGUACGAGAAAAAAUCAGUAAAAUUAUUACCUAAUAAGUCAUGAACUGUUAUAGCAGUGAAACCAGCCUCUUUUUUUGAUUCUUUAAUUCCAACAUCUGUUUUGUAUGUGAUGGAUUUAUAUGCAUACUUGAAAACUGUUAAAUUUGAAUGUUUGUGAAGUUUUACAACUGACCUAUGGUUAAGCCUUGUUAGGAGAAAGGUGGAUCCCCUGUUGAGAGAUAACAUAAAGAGGGAGAUCUGUCCUGUGCAGUGACUCGGUGCCUGUAAUCCCAGAACUUUGGGAGGCCAAGGUUGGCGGAUCACUUGAGGUCAGGAAUUCGAGACCAGCAUGGCCAACGUGGUGAAACUGCCUCUCUACUGAAAACACAAAAAUUAGCUGGGCGUUGUGGCAGGCACCUGUAAUCCCAGCUACUCGGGAGGCUGAGGCAGGAAAAUGGCUUGAACCCUGGAGGUGGAGGUUGCAGUGAGCCAGGAUCGCACCAUUGCACUCCAGAUUGAGCUACAUAGUGAGAAUCUGUCAAAAAAAAAGAAAAAAGAAAAAGAAAAAAAAAAAGAAGGAAAAGAAGGAGAAGGAGAAGAGUAGAAGAGUGACCCAGGAACAUUUCAAGAAAUGAACUUGACAGAGAUUGAUGUUGGGAAAAUUGGAGAUUUGAAAAAGUUAUGGCAUAUGAAGGAUGUAGUAGGUUUACACAUGGUGUAAAAAUGGGUCAUAAUUAGUGCUUAAAGAUGUUUGUACCUGCAAUGUGAGGAAGGCAGUAGUUUAGAAUCUGAAAUAUGAUUUACAAAUCAUUUUUGUUUAUGAAAUGGAAACUACAAUCAGCAUAACAGUGGACCAUAAAUCUAAGACUAGGUAUGGGAAAUAGGUAGUUUGGCUGGAUAGGAAUAAAUUUCAGUACCCAUAAAGGCUACAGAGAUGGGAACUAGAGAAAAGCAAAUCUCUGGUUUAGGUCAACAUCAGAGGAGCUUAGGAAAUGUGACUAAUUGUCUUGAGGUUCAAUAAUAUGCCUGGGCUUGAUACAAAUCAGAAAACCAUGAGGAAGACCAAUCAUAUUGGCCAAGUUGUUAGAUACCAACUCCAAAUCUCUAUACUUAUAAACUACUUUCAGUAUAGACUGAUAUAUGCUUUCUGAAUAUUAGUCUGGCAAUAGGUAUUAGAACUUCAAAAAUAGAUGUGCUUUUUGAUGCAGUAAUUCCACAUUUUGGAAUGUGCUCUUUAUUUCGGUCCAGUAUUAGAAUGCAGAACAUAAGAUUUAAGGUACCACUGUAUAUCUAAACAAUAGAUAAAUAUUGUUCUGUGACCAUUAUUAUAGAAUUAAUAGAAAUCAAAUUUAUAUGUAUAGAAAGUUUAUUAGAUAUUCAAAUUUCUAUGUACAGAAAGUUUAUUACAUAUUAAGCAAUAAUGCCAGUGAAAAUCCAGAUAAAAUAUAAUAAAAGUCCUGUUUUCAAAUUUGAUUAAUGGAAGAAAAUAGUUAAAUGGGAUAUUUUUAAUAAGAAUGCACAAUAAAUAGAUACUGUGUUUUAACUAAAAAUUAUUUCUUUUAGGACAAGGUUCAUUGGUUUGUGUACUCCAUUUUUUGAGUUUAAACUACACAAGAAAUGCAAAGCCUGAUUUCCAAUUUCAAUGUUAAUACCUCAAAGUAUAAAUAAACAUUUUAAAGACAUCUAUGAAGCCAAUCAGGAACAUAAUCCUAUAGACUUAUAUAACCUUCUCCCAUAUUUUAAUAUUCCCUUACAAAUACCUAAUUUAGUAGCAAUUUUAUUGACUAAAUUUAUAAAUGUAUAACCAGUAUUAACAAUUUUUUACAUUGUCAAAGUAUUCUAUUUGUAUACAUAGAUUAUGAAUUUGCUAUUUAUAUAAAAUACAUAAUGGCAAAUAAAAAGUGUAACUUUUAUAGCCAGGUUUGAGAACGAACACAACUAAUUUUUGGUAAGCAUUCAACUGAACUAAUAGGAGAAAAUAACAUAGGUGUAACAGAAGGAAAGCUACUACUAGACAGCUCAUUAAGUAUGUGUUGCAGAAGCCAUACAGAACAUCAGUUAAUCUAAGCUUUGCUUAAAUUUAAAUAAAUAGGAAGAGCUCACACUGAAACUGCUGUUUAAUCCAAAAUUAACAUUAGCCUCCUCUGACUCUGAAGAUGAGACAAUAUCAUACAGUUGAUGAAAAACCUUUCUAUACUGCUUACCUUUAUGUGAUCAUGCUUAGAAAAUGGAGAUUACUGAAUACUAGCAAGUAAGACAUAAUAGUAGACAUCUAUUAUAAGUAAAAGUGGUUGUUUCUACUUUCUUAUCAUUGUAAUAGUCAUAGAGUUUACAAGUAGAAUUAAUAUUUAUUGUCCUUUUCAUGUUUCCUAAGAUGGGAUAAUCACAAACUUUAGUUUAAAAAAUUUUCUGUACAGAUUUAUUCAUAAAAAUGUGUUAAGGAAGAAGUAGGAGAAAUAAAAUGAAAGAAAUGUGCAUCAGUCUCUCUUCAACCACAAGAGCUUAUUUAACCUUUUUGACCCUGUAUGAAAAAUGGAUAACAAAAACUAUAUAUAGCAUGACUAGUAAGGUUAAACAUUGUAUUAUAUAUAAGAGAUGGUUCCAGUAAUAUGACUCACAAGACACUUGAAAUGAGAAAAGCAUUAUUGAUUUUUGAGAGUUCAGCUGUAAAAUGUAUGCAUGGUAGAAUGGAGAAGUAAUGUCGAGUCACCUUAAAGAGAUUAAAUGUCUCUCAGGUCAGCAAAGUCUUACUGUAAUAUGAUUUAAUAUCUUGAGAAAGUCAAUGUCUUAAUGAAUCUAAUGUAUCAAGUAAUGCUUCUCACAUUUAUGUAAUGGAUUAACCCCCUUAAAAACUCAAAAUAACCAAAAUAGGAAAUAAUACCCCAAAAACAAUUAAUGGGUAUCCAGCAUCAUUAUAAUUAUAUUGUCAAAUAUAUUUAAAUCUAGGUUUUCUAUAAAUCAAUUAUGACUAUAGUUCGUAUUUUGAAAAACCAGGUGAAAAACAAAACAAAAUAAAACAAACAUGUUAAAAGUUGGUUUUUAAAGGAUAGACAAACAAUGCUAUAUUUGGUCCAUCCAAGAUGACACAGACUCAUUUUUCCAUGCUCCUCAUUUCUAAGUACACCUAUAAUCCAUAGAAAUAAUUCAAGAGAUAACCAAAGGAGAAUUCUGAAAAGUGAAGAGAGGACAGAAAAUUGAUGAGAGACUCAAAUACUGGAGGGACAAAAUCAAAGCAAGGCAUCUUGAAAUAUUUUCUACUUUCUGAAGGUUAGUAUGGCCAAUGGAAGAAGGUGAUGUAGUCCUACCAUUCUCUGACAUGUAAUCUAGCAACAGAAUGUAGUCUAGGUAGCUCAUUUCUGUGCUGUACAGACAGAUGUCCUGACAAUAACAUCAGGUUAGCCUGGCAGAAUUAGCAAGGAAGACUGAUUGCAUGCUUUGCUGACAAUAAGCAGCCAGUGAAGCAUUCUCUUUUCCUGUCACAUGUAAGACUCCUCUCUCUCAUUCAGUGACACUGUACAUCCAAGGCAUAAGCAAGAAUGAUCUCAUCUCUGCAAAGGUCCAGAUCAUAAGAAGUUCUUUGUCUCCCACAGGCAAGGGUGUAUCCUGCCAGUAAAAGCAACAGCUAAGAAAGCACUUCUCAUUUUUGCUGGCUAAAGACUCUUACUCCUCUUAGAUGCAAUGGCUGGUCUGGUCUGGAGAAGCUUCUGCUCUCUCAACCAGGAUGGACAUGCUCUCUCAACCAGGAUGGACAGGGACCAGUAGUAGAACAUAAAUUACCCAGGUCAAACUAAUACAAUGGAGACUCUGAAAUGUAACAACACCCCACAGAAAUAGGCCAUGACCUGAGUGAAAAAACUUAGCAGGAUGAAUGACUGCUGAGAUUUUAAAAUAAAUGAAUAGAUAGGACUAAAAACUCCAAACAUCAUAGCUAAAAUGUUCAGGGUAUCACUGAAAAUCAUCCAUCAUACCAAAACCCAGGAACACUAGAACUUGAAUUAGAAAAGACAAUCAAUUGCUGCCAACAUUGAGAUUAAUCAGAGGUUAGAAUGAUCAGAGAAGGCCAUUAAAGCAACUACCAUAAAAAUUAUUCACCAAGAUGUUAUAGAUUCUAUUGAAACAAGUGAAAAAACUAGAAACUUCUGGGAAAAAAUAUAUUAUUUUUAUAAAUUAUAGAACUAAAAAUUACAAAAACAAAAAUUUUCAAAAACUGGAAUAAGCGGAGUCUCAGGAAUUCCAGGAACCUAGGGGAUAAUGACAAAGAUACAAUGUUUGUACUACUCAAGUCACAGAAGUAGAAGAGGAAACAAGUAAGUCAGGAAGAGUAUUGGAAGGGAUAAUCACUGAAAAUAUCUCAAAUUUGGCACAAUACAUAAAAUCACAGUUUUAAGAAGCUGAAUGGACCGCAAAUGAGAAAAAUCCCCUGAAGUCUGCAUUCACAAAUACCAUAAUUAAACUUCUCAAAACUAAAAAUCAAAGAAAAAAUUGAAAACAACCAAAAAACCCAACAUUUUAUCUAGAGUUAAAUACCAAUUUAAAUGGCUCAUAGGACAGCAGAUUUCUCUUUUGAAAUUAUGGAGAUAAGUCAGCAGUGGUAGAGCAUGUUUUAAGUGCUAAAAGUAAAGAACUACCAACCAUAUAUUCUGUAUCUGUUAAACUAUCCUUCAAAAAUGAAAGAGAAAAAAACAAAUGAAAUAAACCUAAUCGAAUUUGAUGUAACCAAACCUACCUUUAAAGAAUGGGUAAGGAAGUUCUUCAAACAGAAAAAAAAAAUGGUUUAAAGAAGGAAGUCUUACAUUAUCAGAAGGGAUGACAAACAAUAGAAUGAGAAAAAAUGAGAGUGUACACAAUAGACUAUUAUCUUCCUUAUGCAUUUUCUAAAUCAUAUAUAAUGAUUUAAAUCUAAAUUAUAACAUCAUCUGAUACCCAAGGUAAUUGUAUUUAAAAGUUUGGAAGGUGAAAGGACAUAAAUGGAAGUCAGGUUUUCACGUUUCAUUUGAAAUGGCAAAUCCUGAUACAAGUAGACUGUAAUAAGCCCAAUUCGUAUGUUGUAAUACCAGAGAAUUACUAAAGGAACUCUACGAAGAGAUUAACUCAAAAAUUUUAUAAGGAAAUAAAAAAGGAAUCUUAAAAAAUGUUCAAGCAACCCACAGAAAAGCAAGAAAAGAGAAAUGAGAAACAGAGAAAAACAGAAAGCAAAUGAUAAAAUAAUAUACUUAAUUCUUAAUGUUGUGAUGAUUACCAUAAGUAUAAAUGGUAUAAAUGCCACACAAAAAGAAAAAAUUAGCAGAAAGGAGUUUUAAAAAUUGGCUUUAGUAUAUAUGGUGUUUACAAGAAACUCACUUUAAAUUCAAUGACAUACAUAGGCUAAAAAUAAAUAUUAAUUUCUGAAAUUAGCAAGAAUAGCUAUAUUAAUAUCAAACAAAGGUAUAAAGCUAAUGAAGUUUAUCAAUUUGUUUAAAAUAAUGAGAUAGUAUUAUUUAGUAAAACCAAUUUGCUUUUGUUGAAGCAUGCUUAUAAUCAAGCGUGCUGUAUAACUUAGGUAUUCUAAAGCUUAUAUUCAUUUUACAGAUCACUGUUCCAAAUGCCUAUAGAAUAGAGUAAGUUCAUAAAGGAAUCCAUAGGGUGACAACUGGAGAGCACUUAUUCAUACAAAUGAAGUAACCAAUACUCAGUUCCAACAUGUUUCCAAAAUGAGAAUGAGGGAUGAGAACGAGAAUGCUGUUACACAGUUCACACUUUCCAAAAAUCUGUAUUUUAUUUGAAAAUGUCUGAUAUCUAGAUGUAUACAACUAAUUAUUACUUUUUGCUAUAGAUUUAUGUGACUCAAGCUAGAGGGAGGGCAUAUUUUUAAACCGUGGGCUACAGAUUUCCCAUUAUGCUCUACUUGAACUACUGUCAGCCUUGAAGCUAUUCAGCCUUCAUUAGAAAUAAUGCUUCUAUAUGAAAUAAGUGAACUGAAUUUUCUUUUAUGUUGUGUCCAAACUAAAUAUGUUAUAUACAAUAAAUGUAAUGAGUUAUGUAUAUAUUAAAAUUUGUAUGGUAACAGUCUAGGUGAACAGAAUGAAGUACGUAUGUUUUUGUGAUAUGUGAGUCUCUGUUAAGGAUGUUAGAUUAGCAGAAAAAUUAAAAUGCAAAUUUAAAUAGAACCAUAGAAAAUGUGAAUAUUCUUGUAAUAUAUUCUUGUAUGGCUCUGGGAUAAAAUUUACUUUGAAAUAUUUAAACAAUUAAAUAAUGUGUCAAUCAGAACAUGUGUCAUGGAAUCCUAGUAAAAAACACAGAAAGGUUAAGUGUGAUUUAUUUUUAGAGUUAAGAUGAUUCUUCAUGUGAGUUCAAUGAAUUAAUUUCUUUAUGAGGUUAUGUUUAACAUUUAAUUUAUUUAAGUCUAUCAUUUUAAUUUCAUCCCAACAAGUCAGCAAUUGGUUGGAAUUUUGAUUUCUGUGUAGAUUUUUCUAGAGAAUAUGAAGACAUUACAUAAGUAAUGUCUUCAUAUUCGAAUGUGUGCUGUGCUUGUGAUAGCACUUCUUAUCGUUGUAGAACUGAUGGCACAAUUUCACUAUAAAACUGUAUGCUGAUUUCAAGUGUCCCACCUGUUCCAGGAAAACAUUGUGCCAGCUCCAACAAUCAAAGCCGGUUUUUUAUUUGGUCUUUUUAGUUCUCAAAGCCAUUAUAGUGUAGUUUAAAAGUAAAGAUGUGAACUAUAUUCACUCAUGGAUUAUUCACCAAAAGUUUUAGCACAAUGUUAGCUCAGUCACAAAAAUCAAUGUCUUUCAGAUAUACGUGAAAAAUAGAUAGACACAGAUAUGUUAUUACUUAAGUUGUCAGUUAGCCUUCAUUAAAAUGUAAGGAAAAAAUAAAA
rnacentral:lncRNA from 1 species